UACGUAGGUCCCGAGCGUUGUCCGGAUUUAUUGGGCGUAAAGCGAGCGCAGGUGGUUUAUUAAGUCUGGUGUAAAAGGCAGUGGCUCAACCAUUGUAUGCAUUGGGAACUGGUAGACUUGAGUGCAGGAGAGGAGAGUGGAAUUCCAUGUGUAGCGGUGAAAUGCGCAGAUAUAUGGAGGAACACCGGUGGCGAAAGCGGCUCUCUGGCCUGUAACUGACACUGAGGCUCGAAAGCGUGGGGAGCAAACAGG
rnacentral:rRNA from 1 species